AAUAAUUUUAUAGUCAACGAGUAGACUUUUGAUCCAAAUAUUUAAUCAGAGUAUGUUUACAUCAAAACGCAGUUAAGCUUACCUGAAUGCAUAAUUAUGUUACAGAUGUCAAGAUGAUGGGCUAUGAAACUACCAUCCGCCUUGCCUCAGGAAUUGUGACGUAACGGUAUUAAUGGACAUGGGCAUGUCGUUGAUGGUGCGGACAUUUAGAGCAAGCCUGCGGAGGACUACACUAUCACUCAUUGUAAUCGUUGCUGGUGUCUUCCUCGCACUUCACGCGAUACGGACAGGCCAUGAUACAGUACCCCAGACUAUUCCCGUUUCGUACAUUCCAUUGAAUAGUUCUACACAAACGACAGAAACAAACAAGGCCUUGAAUUAUUCACGGACUUCUGCAUUGAAAAAGAUAUUUAUUAGGAACGUAUACUCAACAGGGUGACGAAGAUAAAUACUAUUUCAUUCUUGCUCAAACGGCAGAGAAAAGAUUCCAGACUAGAUUACGGAGAAUUCGACACACGUGCGAGAAGAACAAAGACUUGCGAGGUAUUGUUUUAAAACCAGAUUGUAAUGAUCCGAGGAAGCAUUUUUUGAAUGUAGAAGAUAAGCACGUUGUCUUCUGUGCCAUCGAAAAGACCGCGAGUACCUUCUGGAGACGGAUAUUUCAAAUGGCGGCAAAUGGCUCAGACGGGCAUCCGUCAAUAAUCAAACCGACCAAUGCGUAUAAACUAAUUGGUUAUCGAUCUAUGAAAGACAUGGACUGGCAAGAAAUCAAUUCUGUGUUUGAAACUUCCAACAUUAUCAUGUUUGUAAGGAACCCAUAUUGGCGAUUGUUUUCGGGCUGGUAAGAUAAACUAUAUGCGCCAAACUGGAUAUACCGGAUGAUCCAUGCAGACGAAAUUGCAAGGAAGAAGGGGCAACAGUACAUGGGGGAAUGCGCCAACGAUGUGUCUUUUGUGGACUUUGUGGAUCACCUAACGGACAGUAUCCUCGACGGUAAAUGUGUGAACAGCCACUUCAGUCCGAGCCACGAGCACUGCCUCCCGUGCGCGCUGAACGUUAAGUAUGUCGGCAAAUUCGAAACGCUGAAAGAGGACACGAUCUUCCUCACGCAGAACCUGAGCAUACACUUGGAUGUGAAAGACUUUGAAAGAGACGCGACAAAAGAUUAAAUCGUCGACUCGAUUGACUGGGUGUUUUCCAAAAAGGAUAAAAUAGUGGGUUGUAACGUUACAUUUCACUGCGCUUUGUUUCGUGUGUGGGGCAGAUUGCAAAGCCGUGGAAUCAUGGCACGUGACAUCAUUUUUCCUUAUAAAUCUCGCGGUGAAGCCGCUAACGUCACAUACGAUGAGUUUUAUCAAAGUCUGACGCGGGCGCAUCUGAAUAGCGAGGCAUCUGCACUCAAGUUAGGCCGUAAAAAGUCAUUCGCCCAGGCAAUACGGACUUUACCAGACCGGGUCAUAUCAAAAAACAAACAUGCGUUUAUUGAUGAUUUUGAAACGUUUGAUUAUAGUUUGAACCCACUGGAGCAGGAUUUAGAGACGUUUAAGAACAUUCCCGGAGAAUAUUUACAGCCAUGUCCUGUAGUUAAAGGUAUAUUGCUUGAUUUGUAUAUAACGUUGGUAUUGUAUUGUAUAGUAGGUUGGUAAGUAACCAUUAUACAAAUACCAAUAGUGAGAAGUCAUUAAAGGUCAUUAAAGACAAUUUAGGUUCAUAUUAUAUUGUUUACCAUAACUAGACGACAUUAUGUUGCAAAUACCAUAAUGCAGUGACGUGUAUUAUUUA